CCCUUAGAUGUUCUGGGCUGCACGCGUGCUACAAUGGCGCUUGCAACAAGUCUUGCCAACCCGAUAGGGUGAGCGGAUCUUUGAAGAGGCGUCGUGAUCGGGACAGUUGAUUGCAAUUAUUCGACUCGAACGAGGAAUUCCUUGUAAUCGCGAUUCAUCAUAUCGCGCUGAAUACGUCCCUGCCCUUUGUACACACCGCCCGUCGCUCCUACCGAUUGAGCGAUCCGGUGAAUGUUUUGGACUGGCGUCAGAAGCGGUUCGCUCCUGACACUACGAAAUUUUGUAAACCUUAUCGCUUAGAGGGAGGAAAAGUCGUAACA
rnacentral:rRNA from 1 species